GUGUCAGCAGCCGCGGUAAAACGUAGGAGGCAAGCGUUAUCCGGAUUUACUGGGCGUAAAGCGCGUGCAGGUGGUUUUAUAAGUCGUGCGUGAAAGCACCCUGCUUAACAGGGCGAGUGCGGGCGAGACUGUAAGACUAGAGCUAGAUAGAGGCAAGUGGAAUUCCGGGUGUAGUGGUGAAAUGCGUAGAGAUCCGGAGGAAUACCAGUGGCGAAGGCGGCUUGCUGGGUCUAAGCUGACACUCAGACGCGAAAGCAUGGGGAGCGAACGGGAUUAGAAACCCCUGUAGUCC
rnacentral:rRNA from 1 species